rnacentral:rRNA from 1 species
CUCUAAGCGGUGGAUCCCUCGGUUCUCGGGUCGAUGAAGAAGCCAGCCAGCUGCGAGACUUGGUGUGAAUUGCAGGACACACUGAUCACUUACUCUUUGAACGCACAUUGCGGCCUCGGGCCUUCCCGUGGCUUCGUCUGUCUGAGG